rnacentral:pre_miRNA from 1 species
UCUUGUGGAUGAGCAAAGAAAGCGGUUUCUUGAGAAGAAAUCUAUUCCUGGUGAAGAUGCUAUGAA